CCAGAACCGCACACAGUAUUAAAGGUGUGAGCAUAUAAUGGGUUUAUAUAGUGGCAUUAUGAUAUUUUCUGUCUUAGUUAUCUACCUCUUUCCUAAUUGUUCCUAAUAUUGUUAGCUUUUUUGGACUGCUGCUGCACAUUGACUGGAUGUUUUCAGAGAACUAUCCACAAUGGCUUCAAGAUCUUUUUCUUGAGUGGUAAAAGCUAACUUAGACUCCAUUUUGUAUGUAUAGUUAGAUUUAUGUUUCCCAAUGUACAUUACUUUACAUUUAUCAACACUGAAUUUCAUCUCCCAUUUUCUUGCCCAGUCACCCAGUUUCGUGAGAUCCCUUUGAAACUCUUCGCAGUCUGCUUUGGACUUAACUGUCUCGUCAACUCUCAACUGUGCAGAAUUCUCAUGAGUCAAGGCCAUCUCCCUUGUGGAAACUCCUGCAUCUGUCUGAUGCAGCAAAACCCAGAGAAAUCUCCCCUGCAGGAGAGCCUCAAUGGUUGCCAACCCAUGGUCCAGUAUGUCGCAGUGGUCAGCAGAGGGAGUCUGGAGCCAAAGGGAAACAGAAGUUGGCAGCAGAGCUGCCUCCAGAGUUAAACAGAUGGAGUUACCCUGCAGUGCAGGACAUGGCAGCAGCUGGCCGGCCUCUGGGAAGGCCUGGAGCCAUCCUAUCACUCCCUACUUAUGCAGCAAUUGAGUGGCCUGUGGGAGUCUAAUUCUUCCUCCUCUGCCCAGGGUAGAAUGGGUCACACAGGUUCAACAAUGCCACUUCCAGCUCCAGCCCCACUACCCCAGAUCCAUGCUGUUCCAUAACAUUGAUUCCAAAAAGCUAGAAGGAAAGGACCUCCUCAGAAUCCCCCAUUUGUUUGUAUAUCUCAUUGCAGGUGCAGGAGCAGCUCAGCCUUCAACAAACACUCCUCCAGCUCCUCCAUCCCUGCUCCAUGCAGAGGCAGUUGGGAGAAAUUCAUGGGGCAGGGAAGACCAACAACAAGGUUGGUUUGGGGACCUGCCCCAGUGCAUGUAUUGUGGCCAUGGAGGAAGGUCUCUAGGAAUGGCCCCAGGCCAUACCUGCCUGUGGAGCAGGAUACAGAGCUGGAGGCACCCCAGCACACAAGGCAGUGUGAGUAAGACUCACUAGCUUAGGCACCGACUUCCCCUCUUUCCAGUGAGUGCUUGACUGCCCUUCUGUCCCCAGCCCUGCCCCCACUCCACCUCUUCCAUAAGGCCCCACCCCUUCCCCAAAGUCCCUGCCCCAACUCCCCCCUGCCCAGCUAAUAUUCUAGCUCCUUCCCAAAUCCCCUCCCCAGCCCCGCCUCCUCCCAAGAACACCACGUUCCGGCUUCUCACCCCUCCACCCCCCAGCAUGCUAACACUGCCAAACAGCAAAUGCUGGAAGGUAGGCAGAGGGACAGGGAUGCAGCAUGCUCCGGGGGUGGAGGGGACUUGGCUGCUCCCUGUGGGGGCUCCAGCCCCAGAGCACUCACAGAGUUGGCACCUAUGCUCGCUAGUAACCAUUUAAGAGAAACGAGAUUCCAGAAAACGAACAAUAGGUAACGCAGUCAGCCCAGGCACUAGCCCCAUCACAGCCCUUCUCAGGAUGACACCAGCCCUGAUACCCACCUCUCCCCAGUCUGGUGUCCUGUGCCUGCUAUAACAUUAGCUCUCAUGGGAGUCUCCAGCACCUGCACAACAACCCUACGUGGUCCCAUGGAUUCUGCUAUGGUUACAGUGCCCAGCCCUAUCAGGAGUUCAUGACACUGAGCUGAGGCAGGUGCUCUUGAAGGAGGAACCAGAGGUUCAUAAACUGCCAGGGGAUGGGAGGUUGGAAGGGAAACUGGGUGCAAACCUGGAACAGGAUUUCCAGCAGAGGAAAUUUGAGAAAUCCACUGAAAACUAGUUUGGGCAGAGCUCUGAGAAAUAUCCUGCAGGGAACAACGCUGUAGUGGCUGGGAGGUUGCUGGUUAGAGGUGAGGUGUUGUAAUCUCUCUUCCCUCUCUAGCUAAUCCCUGCAUGGGACAAUACUUGUUUUUAAAGCUAAAAUGGGAUUGAGCAAGGUUUGAGAACAAGCUCCCAAGUGGCUUUAGACAAAAUAAAAAGCAGAGGUCAGCACA
rnacentral:lncRNA from 1 species